UAGGGAAUCUUCGGCAAUGGGGGGAACCCUGACCGAGCAACGCCGCGUGAGUGAAGAAGGUUUUCGGAUCGUAAAGCUCUGUUGUUAAGGAAGAACGAGUGUGAGAAUGGAAAGUUCAUACUGUGACGGUACUUAACCAGAAAGGGACGGCUAACUACGUGCCAGCAGCCGCGGUAAUACGUAGGUCCCGAGCGUUUUCCGGAUUUAUUGGGCGUAAAGCGAGCGCAGGCGGUUAGAUAAGUCUGAAGUUAAAGGCAGUGGCUCAACCAUUGUAGGCUUUGGAAACUGGUUAACUUGAGUGCAGAAGGGGAGAGUGGAAUUCCAUGUGUAGCGGUGAAAUGCGUAGAUAUAUGGAGGAACACCGGUGGCGAAAGCGGCUCUCUGGUCUGUAACUGACGAUGAGGCUCGAAAGCGUGGGGAGCGAACAGG
rnacentral:rRNA from 1 species